UUCAAUACCACUAGUUUCUUAUUCUUUUCACCUACAUUUAUUUUCCACCUCUUCAGAUGAGUAAACAGAACAUAAAAUUUCAAAUUUUAAUUUUCAAUUGAAAAAAACAAGUAUAUUUAUAACCUCCUACUUCCAGUCUUCACUAUAUUCUUUUGGUUGCUACUCCCCUUCUUUAUUUUUUUUAAUUCGUUAUCAUGGUCGCAGUAGUGACGGUGGAGGACGUAAUUGCCGUGGCGAUUGCUACAGCUGCGGUUGGAAUGGGUCACAUGGCCUGGAAUUAUAACAAAGGAGGAAGUGAUGGCGUUUGCCUCAGCUGUGGUGAGGAUGAGCCAUAUGGUUAGGGGUUGCAACUAAGGAGGAAGCAGCAGAUCUGCUACAACUAUGGGAAUUCUGGACAUUUUGUCACAUGCCUAUACCUUAUUUCAGAUACAGGACAUGAGGCUCCUCGCUGAGGCAUGCUGGAAGCUUUUGAUGUUGCGAAGACCUUUAUCUUUUGGGCUUUAUUUUGGUUAUCUGUAUUUGCUUAGAUACUUAUUAUCUCCACCUAUUAUAUAUAUGAUGUAUUAAUUCCUCUUAGAGGUGAUUUUGGAGACUCAGGUUUUGUAACUCUAUAUUUUGGGUUUUUCUAUAUAUCUAUAUAUGUAUAACUAUGUGCUCGGACUGGUUUAUCUUCGUAAGUUGAGUCUUGAGUUUUGUUACAUGUGUUUUGGAACUCUUAGUAUAUAAAUUCGUUAGCUUGCUCUAUCUUGCUUACUU